rnacentral:rRNA from 1 species
UAGCCGUAAACGAUACUCGCUAGGUGUCGGCCACGGUGCGACCGUUGUCGGUGCCGUAGGGAAGCCGUGAAGCGAGCCACCUGGGAAGUACGGCCGCAAGGCUGAAACUUAAAGGAAUUGGCGGGGGAGUACCACAACGGGUGGAGCCUGCGGUUUAAUUGGACUCAACGCCGGGAAGCUCACCGGAUAAGACAGCGGAAUGAUUGCCGGGCUGAAGACCCUGCAUGACCAGCUGAGAGGAGGUGCAUGGCGUAGACGUCU